rnacentral:rRNA from 1 species
GAGUUUGAUCAUGGCUCAGGAUGAACGCUGGCGGCGUGCUUAACACAUGCAAGUCGAACGAACCUUCGGGUUAGUGGCGGACGGGUGAGUAACGCGUGGGAAUCUGCCCUCAGGAGGGGGAUAACGGUUGGAAACGACCGCUAAUACCCCAUAUGCCGAGAGGUGAAAUGAAUUUCGCCUGAGGAUGAGCCCGCGUCUGAUUAGCUUGUUGGUGAGGUAAUGGCUCACCAAGGCAUCGAUCAGUAGCUGGUCUGAGAGGAUGAUCAGCCACACUGGGACUGAGACACGGCCCAGACUCCUACGGGAGGCAGCAGUGGGGAAUUUUCCGCAAUGGGCGAAAGCCUGACGGAGCAACGCCGCGUGAGGGACGAAGGCCUCUGGGCUGUAAACCUCUUUUCUCAAGGAAGAAGAUAUGACGGUACUUGAGGAAUAAGCCACGGCUAAUUCCGUGCCAGCAGCCGCGGUAAUACGGGAGUGGCAAGCGUUAUCCGGGAUUAUUGGGCGUAAAGCGUCCGCAGGCGGCCUUUCAAGUCUGCUGUUAAAACGUGGAGCUCAACUCCAUCAUGGCAGUGGAAACUGAUUGGCUUGAGUAUGGUAGGGGCAGAGGGAAUUCCCGGUGUAGCGGUGAAAUGCGUAGAUAUCGGGAAGAACACCAGUGGCGAAGGCGCUCUGCUGGGCCAUUACUGACGCUCAUGGACGAAAGCCAGGGGAGCGAAAGGGAUUAGAUACCCCUGUAGUCCUGGCCGUAAACGAUGAACACUAGGUGUCGGGGGAAUCGACCCCUUCGGUGUCGUAGCUAACGCGUUAAGUGUUCCGCCCUGGGGAGUACGCACGCAAGUGUGAAACUCAAAGGAAUUGACGGGGGCCCGCACAAGCGGUGGAGUAUGUGGUUUAAUUCGGUGCAACGCGAAGAACCUUACCAGGGCUUGACAUCCUGCGAACCUUUAAGAAAUUAGAGGGUGCCUUCGGGAACGCAGUGACAGGUGGUGCAUGGCUGUCGUCAGCUCGUGUCGUGAGAUGUUGGGUUAAGUCCCGCAACGAGCGCAACCCACGUUUUUAGUUGCCAGCAUUUAGUUGGGCACUCUAGAAAGACCGCCGGUGAUAAACCGGAGGAAGGUGUGGAUGACGUCAAGUCAUCAUGCCCCUUACGUCCUGGGCUACACACGUACUACAAUGCUACGGACAAAGGGCAGCAAACUCGCGAGAGCUAGCAAAUCCCAUAAACCGUGGCUCAGUUCAGAUCGUAGGCUGCAACUCGCCUACGUGAAGUAGGAAUCGCUAGUAAUCGCAGGUCAGCAUACUGCGGUGAAUACGUUCCCGGGCCUUGUACACACCGCCCGUCACACCAUGGAAGUUGGCCACGCCCGAAGUCGUUACUUUAACCCUUGUGGAGAAGGACGCCGAAGGUGGGGCUGAUGACUGGGGUGAAGUCGUAACAAGGUAACC